GUGCUUGAUUCAGCAGCACAUAUAAUAAAAUUAGAAUGAUACAUAAAAGAUUAGUAUGGCCCCUGCACAAGAAUGACACACAAAUUUAUGAAGCAUUUCAUAUUUUU